UACGAAGGGGGCUAGCGUUGCUCGGAAUCACUGGGCGUAAAGCGCACGUAGGCGGCUUGUUAAGUCAGGGGUGAAAUCCUGGAGCUCAACUCCAGAACUGCCUUUGAUACUGGCGAGCUCGAGUCCGGGAGAGGUGAGUGGAACUGCGAGUGUAGAGGUGAAAUUCGUAGAUAUUCGCAAGAACACCAGUGGCGAAGGCGGCUCACUGGCCCGGAUACUGACGCUGAGGUGCGAAAGCGUGGGGAGCAAACAGG
rnacentral:rRNA from 1 species